rnacentral:lncRNA from 1 species
UUUUUUUUUUUUUUUUUUUAGCUUUUCAUUUUCUUAAUGGUGCCUUUUGAAGAGCAAAAGUCUUCAAUUUUUUUGAAGAUUUAUUUUAUUAGAGAGAGAGAGAAGAGGGGGUCAGAGAGAGAUGGAGAAUCCAGCCGAUUCUGCCCUGAGCAAGGAGCCCAAUGUGGGGCUCCAGUCCAGGACCCUGGAAUCAUGACCUGAGCUGAAAGUCAGUCGGUUGCUUAACUGACUGAGCCACUCAGGUGCCUCCAAAAGUCUUCAAUAUUUAUAAAAUCAAACUUAAAAAAAAUUUUUCUUUAUGGGCCAUGCUUUUGAGAUUAUUAUAUAUGAAAGACAGAUGAGGUCAAGAUCUCCUGUUUUCCUCUAGCUCUAGGUUUUACAUUGAGUAUGUAUCUAAAGGAAACAAUCACUAUCUGCACCCCCAUGUUCACUGUAGCAUUAUAACAGCCAAGACAUGGAAGCAACCUAAGAAAGAUAAACGAAUAAGCAAUAUGUGGUAUAAAUAGAUAUAGACAUAGAUAUUGGAAUAUUACUCAGCCACAAGAAAGGAAACCCUGCUAUCUGUGAUAACAUGGAUAGACAUUGAGGUCAUUAUGCUAAGUGAAAUAAGUCAUACAAAGAUAAUUACUGCAUUACCUCACUUGUAUGUAGAAUCUGAAAAAAGAAACUGAACAUAUUGGUGGUUGCCAGAGGAGGGAGAAAAGGGUAGAAGGCAGGAGAAUGAAAAGAAUGGGUAAAGGUGGUCAAAAAGGUAAAAACUUCCAAUUAUAAGAUAAAGUUCUGGGAAUAUAAUGUACAUCAUGGUGAAUAUGGUUAACAAUACUGUAUUAUAUAUUUGAAAGUUGCUAAGAGUAGAUCUUAAAAAUAUAUAACUAUGGAGUGAUGGAUGUUAACUAAAUUUUUGUGGUAAUCAUAUGUAUAUACUAUUAAAUCAUUACAUCAUACACUGUGGACUAUUACAGUUGUAAGUGAAUAAUAUCUCAAUAAACCUGGAAAAAUUGGGGCACCCGGGUAGCUCAAUCGGUUAAGCGUCUGCCUUUGGCUCAGGUUAUCAUCCCAGGGUCCUGGAAUCAAGCCCCGCAACAGGGUCCUUGCUCAGUGGGAAGCCUGCUUCUCCCUCUGCCUCUGCUUGCUGUUUCCCCUUGCUUGUGCUUUCUCUUGCUCUCUCUCUAUAUCAAAUAAAUAAAUUUUAAGAACUGGAAAAAUUAAAAAAUGUUAAGGAAACAAAGAUACUGGUUCUCUAAAUAGAAAGCAAAUGAAAAUGAUCAAAUUUUGAAUUUAUAAGGAAGUAGCAGAUUACCACGAAGUAGUAUCACCCGGUACUACUCAAAAUUUCUGAGCACUAUCACUCAAAACUAUAGUACCAUGUUGACCUUAAGUAAAAAAGAUAAAGGUACAUUAAUAAUCUAUACUGUUAUCUACCAAUGUUAUUAAUCAAGGUGAAGGUAAUCAUAAGAAACUAGUCUUCACAUGCUGUUUGCAGAUAUACGUAUAAGUAAAAAGAAAACUCCACCAACCUUAAGCUUUUGAUUAAAGUUAGCUUGUGUUUCUUGAUAUGGACUGAGAAUGGCAGAAUAAAAUGAUUUUUAUUAGCUGUGGUAUCAGGGGAAGCAUAGUAUUGGUUCAGUCUUCUGACCUCAAAUUUUAAUUGUAUAAUGUAUACAAUUAUAAUUUAGCCUCAUAAAAAUAGAACUUCAAACACAUGACUUAUUAUGUAUUUUUUUGACAUGUAUUAUUUUCAAAUCUGUUAAAGUUCUAAUCACAUUUUCUGUGGGAAAUUGUGACUUUCAUUCACUUUCUCUUGAAAGAAUUAACAAGAUAGUGAAAAUUUAGCUGCGGCACAAGAGUGCAAGAGCACACGGCUCUGAGGGUUCCAAACAGACCAGGUUUGACCACCCAUCCCAGACAAACUCCAAAGGCAGACAGAUGAGUGGUGGUCAAACAAGAAAGGAAUUUAUUUCACUAAGGCCAAUACCAGUGGCUUCAAAGAUGGUCUCUGAAGUACUGACAAUACCUCUAGGUUUACACCAGGUAAAUGUGGAACAAAGGUCAGGGAUACAUGCAGGUGGGCAGUAAAGGCCAGAAGGAUCAUGGUCUAGAGGUGGGGACUUGCUGGCUCAGAGCAAUUCUUACUGCUUGAGGGAGUAGUUUUGGCUCCUACCACAAGAUACGCCUGCAGGGUCUUUGGCCUGUGUAAAGAGAGAAACUGGAAGGAAGAAAUUAGGAAGUUUGAGAUCAAAACAGAGGUAGUUGAAAUCCUCUUUCAAAAAGAGGAAAGUACUGAACCAUGGGAAUACUAUAUUCCUGUUUGUGUAAACAAAUAGGAGGAAGGUAUAUGUUCAUAAGUGGGACACCUGGGUGGCUCAUCAGUUGAGUGCCUGCCUUCGGCCCAGGAUGUGAUCCUGAAAAGGUAGGAUCGAGUCCCACAUUGGGCUCCCUGCAUGGAGCCUGCUUCUCUCUCUGCCUGUGUCUCUGCCUCUCUCUCGCUGUGUCUCUCAUGAAUAAAUAAAUAAAAUCUUAAAAAAAAAAUAAGUGUUUGUGUUUGCAUAGAAGCAGAAGUAAGCUACAGAAGUAAAACAUGGGUAUGUUUUACUCUUUCAUAAAAUAAUAUUUUAUAUAUAUAUAAUAUGAUAAACUAAGAGAAGUAUGACACGUAUAGGCACUGUCUCAAAACUAUGAUGAAGACUGCUGGGAUCCCUGGGUGGCGCAGUGGUUUGGCGCCUGCCUUGGGCCCAGGGCGUGAUCCUGGAGACCCGGGAUCGAAUCCCACGUCGGGCUCCUGGUGCAUGGAGCCUGCUUCUCCCUCUCCCUGUGUCUCUGCCUCUCUUUCUCUAGGUCUAUGAAUAAAUAAAUAAAAUCUUAAAAAAAAAAAAAGACUAAUUGUUAAAUGAGAUCGGUUUGAUUGAAGGAAACUCACAUUUUUCUGGUAGGACUUCUAUCUUUAUAUAGGCUGAGUUAAGAUUGAGUUCUAAAAAAAAAAAAAAAUUUUGAGUUCUGCAAGGCUGCAUGAAGGAAAAUGCUGUGGAUAAGAAAAAAUGCCAUUUCAAAACUCCUAUUUGCUAAAUGAAGUACUAUCAACUGGACUACCAAGACUUAUUUUCUUUCUUCCUAGGUUAGUCAGUUGAUACAAAGCAAUGACUUUUAUAUCUAAUAUUGUAGCCUCGAACUGCAUAUACACUAUCAGUACCCAGUCGCUGUAUUAAAUAUUUGGUAGGUGGGAGGAGUGGAGGACAGAAAUACAAAUUUCAAGUAAUUGCAAAAUUCAUUCUUUUAGAACACAGUUCAAAAUGCCUGUUUUCAGGGAUCCCUGGGUGGCUCAGCGGUUUAGCGUCUCCCUUCAGCCCAGGGCGUGACCCUGGAGUCCCAGGAUCGAGUCCCACGUUGGGCUCCCUGCGUGGAGCCUGCUUCUCCAUCUGCCUGUGUCUCUGCCUCUCUCUCUCUC